AUGACCCGGCCUCUCGUCUGUCUCUCACUGCUCUCCUUCUGCUCAGGCUCCCUGUCCCAGGCUGUGGUGACUCAGCCUCCCUCUGCGUCUGCCUCCCUGGGGAGCUCGGCCAGGCUCUCCUGCACCCUGAGCAGUGGGAACAGUGGUAAUACUGUUUAUUGGCACCAGCAGAGCCCAGGAAAGCCCCCUCGGUACCUCCUGUAUAUCUAUAGCAGUGGAGGUACAGGCAGGGCCGACGGGAUCCCUGAGCGCUUCUCUGGCUCCGGAUCUGGGACUAACCGAUUCCUGUCCAUCAGCAACGUCCAGCCUGAGGAUGAAGCCGAUUAUUUCUGUGGUUAUGCUUAUGGCAGUGGUAGUAGUUAUGGUUAUACACAGUGA